rnacentral:rRNA from 1 species
GACGAACGCUGGCGGCGUGCUUAACACAUGCAAGUCGAACGGAAAGGCCCUGCUUUUGUGGGGUGCUCGAGUGGCGAACGGGUGAGUAACACGUGAGUAACCUGCCCUUGACUUUGGGAUAACUUCAGGAAACUGGGGCUAAUACCGGAUAGGAGCUCCUGCUGCAUGGUGGGGGUUGGAAAGUUUCGGCGGUUGGGAAUGGACUCGCGGCUUAUCAGCUUGUUGGUUGGGUAGUGGCUUACCAAGGCUUUGACGGGUAGCCGGCCUGAGUGGGUGACCGGCCACAAUGGGACUGAGAUACGGCCCAGACUCCUACGGGAGGCAGCAGUGGGGAAUAUUGCACAAUGGGCGGAAGCCUGAUGCAGCAACGCCGCGUGCGGGAUGACGGCCUUCGGGUUGUAAACCGCUUUCGCCUGUGACGAAGCGUGAGUGACGGUAAUGGGUAAAGAAGCACCGGCUAACUACGUG